UACGUAGGGUGCAAGCGUUGUCCGGAAUUAUUGGGCGUAAAGAGCUCGUAGGCGGCUUGUCGCGUCGGCUGUGAAAACCCGGGGCUCAACCCCGGGCCUGCAGUCGAUACGGGCAGGCUAGAGUCCGGCAGGGGAGACUGGAAUUCCUGGUGUAGCGGUGGAAUGCGCAGAUAUCAGGAGGAACACCGGUGGCGAAGGCGGGUCUCUGGGCCGUUACUGACGCUGAGGAGCGAAAGCGUGGGGAGCGAACAGG
rnacentral:rRNA from 1 species